rnacentral:rRNA from 1 species
UGAGGAAUAUUGGACAAUGGUCGGAAGACUGAUCCAGCCAUGCCGCGUGUCUGAAGAAGGCCUUCGGGUUGUAAAGGACUUUUGUCAGGGAAGAAAAGGCUGUUGCUAAUAUCGACAGCUGAUGACGGUACCUGAAGAAUAAGCACCGGCUAACUACGUGCCAGCAGCCGCGGUAAUACGUAGGGUGCGAGCGUUAAUCGGAAUUACUGGGCGUAAAGCGAGCGCAGACGGUUACUUAAGCAGGAUGUGAAAUCCCCGGGCUCAACCUGGGAACUGCGUUCUGAACUGGGUGACUAGAGUGUGUCAGAGGGAGGUAGAAUUCCACGUGUAGCAGUGAAAUGCGUAGAGAUGUGGAGGAAUACCGAUGGCGAAGGCAGCCUCCUGGGAUAACACUGACGUUCAUGCUCGAAAGCGUGGGUAGCAAACAGGAUUAGAUACCCUGGUAGUCCACGCCCUAAACGAUGUCAAUUAGCUGUUGGGCAACUUGAUUGCUUAGUAGCGUAGCUAACGCGUGAAAUUGACCGCCUGGGGAGUACGGUCGCAAGAUUA